AUGAACGCUGGCGGCGUGCCUAAUACAUGCAAGUCGAGCGAACAGACGAGGAGCUUGCUCCUCUGACGUUAGCGGCGGACGGGUGAGUAACACGUGGAUAACCUACCUAUAAGACUGGGAUAACUUCGGGAAACCGGAGCUAAUACCGGAUAAUAUAUUGAACCGCAUGGUUCAAUAGAGAAAGACGGUUUUGCUGUCACUUAUAGAUGGAUUCGCGCCGCAUUAGCUAGUUGGUAAGGUAACGGCUUACCAAGGCAACGAUGCGUAGCCGACCUGAGAGGGUGAUCGGCCACACUGGAACUGAGACACGGUCCAGACUCCUACGGGAGGCAGCAGUAGGGAAUCUUCCGCAAUGGGCGAAAGCCUGACGGAGCAACGCCGCGUGAGUGAUGAAGGUCUUCGGAUCGUAAAACUCUGUUAUUAGGGAAGAACAAAUGCGUAAGUAACUAUGCACGUCUUGACGGUACCUAAUCAGAAAGCCACGGCUAACUACGUG
rnacentral:rRNA from 1 species